UACAGUUUCACCAAAUUUAGACCCCACUGAUGUCACCGUGUCGUACAGAUCCGGAGUUAGAUUCGGUACAGUUUCAUCCAAUUUUGAUUCUUUGUUAAGAUUAAUCUUACAAUUUCUCACUAGCUUUCUCUUUUUGGUUUUGGUUACAAGGUUGAACAGCGGCGGUGACAAAUGAAGUUAAGCUUGUAAGUGAUGUUCAUCAUCGAAACCUUCUCCGUCUCCUAGGAUGGUCCAGUGGAGGAUCUAAUCUACUUCUUGUCCUGGAGUACAUGCCAAAUGGCAGCCUUGACAGAUUUCUAUGGGGAUAUGAGGAGUUUGAGAUGGAGACAAGCUAUACUUCUAUUCCAAAGAUAUAGAGACUGAUUCGAAGGAGACCCCGACCAUAUAUGGAAUGGUUGCGGAUGUAAAGAUACGCAAAACACCAACUACGAAGGCGAGAACACUUGACAACCUCCUAGAAGAUAGUGCGGUGCACAUAAGGAACUGAUUGAUCAAAACGACCAAUUGCAUAUGAAUGAAUAUAACCCCAAUGGCAGAUAUGUAAUU